rnacentral:rRNA from 1 species
GAUGAACGCUGGCGGCGUGCCUAAUACAUGCAAGUCGAGCGAACAGACGAGGAGCUUGCUCCUCUGACGUUAGCGGCGGACGGGUGAGUAACACGUGGAUAACCUACCUAUAAGACUGGGAUAACUUCGGGAAACCGGAGCUAAUACCGGAUAAUAUAUUGAACCGCAUGGUUCAAUAGUGAAAGACGGUUUUGCUGUCACUUAUAGAUGGAUCCGCGCCGCAUUAGCUAGUUGGUAAGGUAACGGCUUACCAAGGCAACGAUGCGUAGCCGACCUGAGAGGGUGAUAGGCCACACUGGAACUGAGACACGGUCCAGACUCCUACGGGAGGCAGCAGUAGGGAAUCUUCCGCAAUGGGCGAAAGCCUGACGGAGCAACGCAGCGUGAGUGAUGAAGGUCUUCGGAUCGUAAAACUCUGUUAUUAGGGAAGAACAAAUGUGUAAGUAACUAUGCACGUCUUGACGGUACCUAAUCAGAAAGCCACGGCUAGCUACGUG